AUCGCUUCUUGGCCUUUUGGCUAAGAUCGAGUGUAUGUUUAUAUGUGUAUAUAUAUGUAUGUAUGCAUAUAUACAUGUGUGUAUAUAUAUGCAUAUGUGUGUACAUACAUGCAUAUGUACAUAUUCUAU
rnacentral:snRNA from 1 species